rnacentral:rRNA from 1 species
CACACUGACGACAUGUCUACAGAACCAGAUUAGAUACCUACUAUACUAAAUCUAAAUGAAAAAGACUAAUUAUUAAUAGAUAUAUUCUUUAAACUUGAAGAAUUUGGCGGUGAUUUUAGUCUUGUUAGAGGAACCUGUUUUUAAAUCGAUACUCCACGUAUAAUCUUAUUAGGUUUGUAAAUCAGUAUGUAUACCAUCAUUAUUAGAUAAUUCUUACAGGUAAAUUAUUAUAUUAAUUGAUAAUGUCAAAUAUAUUAGAUCAAGGUGCAGCUAAUACUUAAGUUAAAAUGGGUUACAAUAAAUAUUUAUAUUAAACACGGAUAACAAUAUAAGAAAUAUAAGUUUGAAGGAGGAUUUAAUUAUAAAGAAAGUUUAAUAUGCUAUUUUUAUAUAAGCUCUAAGUCGU